rnacentral:rRNA from 1 species
CCAAUAGCGUAUAUUAAAGUUGUUGCAGUUAAAAAGCUCGUAGUUGAAUUUCGGGAUCAAAUUGUCGGUCGUGCCUCGGUACGCACUGGUAUUAUUGGUUCCUACCUUCUGAAGAACCGCGAUGUCAUUAAUUUGGUGUCGUGGGGAAUCAGGACUGUUACUUUGAAAAAAUUAGAGUGUUUAAAGCAGGCUUACGCUUGAAUACAUUAGCAUGGAAUAAUGAAAUAGGACGUUUGAUUCUAUUUUGUUGGUUUCUAGGAUUGACGUAAUGAUUAAUAGGGAUAGUUGGGGGCAUUAGUAUUCAAUUGUCAGAGGUGAAAUUCUUGGAUUUAUUGAAGACUAACUACUGCGAAAGCAUUUGCCAAGGAUGUUUUCAUUAAUCAAGAACGAAAGUUAGGGGAUCGAAGACGAUCAGAUACCGUCGUAGUCUUAACCAUAAACUAUGCCGACUAGGGAUCGGAUGAUGUUAAUUUUUUAAUGACUCAUUCGGCGCCUUUCG